rnacentral:rRNA from 1 species
AUUGAACGCUAGCGGCAGGCUUAACACAUGCAAGUCGGACGAGUGGCGGACGGGUGAGUAAUGCUUGGGAAUCUGGCAUAUGGAUGGGGAUAACGACUGAAAAAUGUCGCUAAUACCGCGUACCAUAGGAUGAGCCCAAAUGGGAUUAGGUAGUUGGUGGGGGAAUGGCCUACCAAGCCGACGAUCACUAGCUGGUCUGAGAGGAUGACCAGUCAGAUCGGUAAUGAGGACCGGCCCGGACUCCGACGGGAUGCACCAGUGGGCAAUAUUGCGUAAGGGGGGCAACCUGACGCAGCGAUGCCGCGUGAAAGAAGAAGGCCUGCGGGUUGUAAAGUUCGGUCGGUGAGUAGGCGUUAAUCACAGAAGAAGGACCGGCUAACUCCGUGCCAGGAGCCGCGGUAAUAC